AGUAUCUUUCACUACAACAAAAAUGGUCUAUAGCGACACUUUUAAAUAUAGGUACAUGUCAAAAAAGUACUGCUAGCUAAAAUUACUGACACUUUUAAAAAGUGUUGCUAUAUGUGGGGUCGCUAGGUAUAUAGUGACAGUUAAAGAGUGUCGCUAUAACCUAAAAGAGUGCUGCUAAUUUACCAACACUUAUUUAAGCAUUUAGCAACCGCCGAAACUCUAUUUCGUUGGCAGCGGUGGCGGAGGAGGACGACAGGAAAGGCUCUUCGUCUAGAAUUUCAGUGGAUUGAGUGAAGAGAGAAGAAAAGAUGGUAAUUAAUUUUUCUUUUUUUUUUUCUUUUCUGUUUGUAAUCGGGUCAAAUGGACUGGGUGUGGUGGGUUGAGUAGAGUAAUCUUUUAUUUUUAGUUGGAUUGGGCUUUAUAUUUAGGCAUAAGUAGAUGUUUUUUUAAAUUUUAGCAUAAAUGGGACACUUACUCAAAAGUGUCCCAAACAUGUGUCCCUAUAAUCUAAUUCUGUUGUAGUGUUUAGUUGAAAU
rnacentral:lncRNA from 1 species